ensembl:snoRNA
CUGCAAGCCUCCAGCGUGCUUGGGUCUGGGGGUGACCCUAUGCAUUCCUGUAGAAUUUGUGAGAAUAGUGUGAAACAGUUUGAGGCUUGUCCUGCUCCAUCCAGAACAAGGUUAUAAAAAUUUCAGACAAUU